rnacentral:lncRNA from 1 species
AACCUCCUCUACCAAUGGGUGAUGGUGCUCCUAACACACAUUUGCACACAAUGGACGAGGCCUUCAAAAAGCUGCAAGAAAGUGUUGAUUCUCACAGUAAAAAUUUUGAUUCCAUUAAUUCCACACUUCAAGAAAUUAUCUCCUAAAUUUCCACCCUCCAAACCCAGAAUCAACACACCCAGCCCUCUACAAAAAGCCCAACAACCUCUAACCCUAGUUCUUCUUCCAUACCACCACCACAAAAUUUCUUCUAUCAACAUCUUUCUCCCCCAGCUCCGCAGUUGAAUCCACCACACCAGCCACAAGCCUUUUCUGUAAAUCAGAACCCUUGUGACCCUUUUCGGAGAGAUAAACCAGCACCCAUAGAAUUAGCCCGUUUUGAUGGCCGGUUUGCUGAAAGUUGGAUUUUCCAAGCCAACCAAUACUUUGAUGCUUCUAAUGUCCAUGAUGAACAUCGUUUGAACCUUGUCUCCUUCUAUCUUGAGGGCAUGGCUAGAGACUGGUAUCAAUGGAUGUAUAAGAAGCCUCAACUGAUUGGCUGGGAACACUUCACCAAAGCUUUGGUAACUCGUUUUGGUUCAAAAUCCAUGGAAGCACUAGAGGGGCUUUUGGGGAAAUUGCAGAUGACUUCGACUAUUGCUGAGUAUCUUUCUCGAUUUGAGCACCUUGCUAAUCGCACUACUGAUGCUUCUCCAGAGAUGUUGCGGCAUCUUUUUAUUUCUGGGCUACCUACUGAGAUUAAAAGUGAUGUUUAUCAUUUAGGCCUAAAGAUAUUCACGAGGCUAUUAGUUUGGCCAUGUUGCAGGAGCAAAAAUUAUUGGCCCAAGUUAAAACACCAACCCAGACUACUUCUAUCACUAAAAAUAUUUCCUCCCAAUCAUCGCAACAUAAAUCAAUCCCAUCCUUUUCACCCUCUUCUUCCUCCGCUCAGGUAGCUUCACUUCUGGGUAUUGGCAGUGUUCCAUUCAAGAAAUUUUCUUCGGUGGAAUUACAACGCAAAUGAGAUCUUAAUUUGUGCUUCAACUGUGAUGAAAAAUAUCAAAAGGGCCAUCGAUGUUCUAUAUCUCCACAACUUUUGCUGCUCGUCACUGACGAGGAUUCAGUGGAGGUACCUCUCCCGCCGGAUAUUGAAUCAUCUCCCUUGGAAUCCAAUUUCACCAUCCCUACUGAGGAACUGUCCUUCCCCACCAUCAGUUCCCAAGCCCUUACAGGCAGUUCGCAUCCUACUGCUUUUCGUUUUACAGGUCAUAUUAAAGGCCUACUGGCUCAAAUUCUACUUAAUGGGGGUAGCACUGAUAACUUUAUACAUCCUCGUGUUGCUAAGUCUCUCAAACUUACUAUCGAGUCCUCACCUGAAUUCUCUAUUAUUGUGGGUAAUGGUAAUCGGUUUCCUUAUUUGGGCGUGAUUCAUAAUCUUUUGAUCACUAUUCAGCGACAUUCCUUUUGUACAACUUUUUUUGUUCUGGAUUUUAAUGGUGCAGAUGUGGUAUUGGGUGUGGCGUGGCUCGCAACUCUUGGUCGGACUAUUUCAGAUUGUUCCAAACUCCUAUUUGAGUUCAAGAGUAAUAGAAAAUGUAUUAGUUGGUUCGGAGAUCCUCCAACCUCACUAGAGCAGGUUCAACCUUCAUCUCUUCGUCGCUUCACUAUGACGGACUCCAUUGCUUAUAUGUACCGACUCGAGCUACUCUCUCCGAACACAUAUAUUGAACAAGACCAUCCUCUUGAUCUUCAAGUCAUAUUAUCCUCCUAUAAUGAGGUAUUUUUGGCCCCAAAUUCCCUGCCACCAUUGAGACCGCAAGAUCAUCGCAUCCCGCUGCUUCCUGUCUCUUCUUCGAUUAAUGUGCGGCCCUACAGGUAUCCCCAUUUUCAGAAGGGCGAGAUUAAACGCAUGGUCUCCAAGAUGCUUCACUCAGGUGUGAUUCAACACAGCUUUAGCCCUUAUUCCUCACCCGUCCUUUUGGUAAGAAAAAAAGAUGGCACAUGGCGCUUUUGCAUCGACUAUAGGGCAUUGAACUCCAUCACGGUUAAAGAUUGUUUUCCCAUUCCCACAGUUGAUGAAUUAUUUGAUGAACUCUAUAAUGCCCGUUUCUUUUCCAAGUUGGACUUAUUAGCUGGAUACCAUCAAAUUCGUGUCCGUCAGGAUGAUAUAGAAAAGACAACCUUCCGAACUCAUGAUGGUCAUUUUGAGUUCCUUGUCAUGCCCUUCGGCCUCUCAAAUGCCCCAUCCACCUUUCAAGCUACAAUAAACUCCAUAUUCAAUCCCUUCCUUCGCCGGUUUGUCCUUGUCUUCUUCAAUGAUAUUAGUUUACAAUUAGUCCUGGCAGGAUAAUCUUGCUCGCUUGCAAAAUGUUUUUGAGUUGCUCAAGAGGAAUUCUUUGGUGGUUAAACAGUCUAACCAAUUUGGACAGAAUUCUAUUAAAUACUUGGGUCAUAUUAUUUCUUUCAGCGGCUUGCAAGUUGACCCCGAGAAAAUUUAGUCUAUUGCAUCAUGGCCGCUACCUUCCUCUAUUAAAGAAGCUCGUGGGUUUUUGGGAUUGACGGGUUAUUAUUAGUGAUUUGUAAAGGGAUAUGCCCAACUUGCUUCCCCACUCACAAACCUUCUAAAAAAGGAUUCCUUUGUUUGGUCUGAUAGCGCAUCCACAACAUUUUUUGACCUCAAACGAGCCCUUGGUUCUGUUUCAGUUCUUGCAUUGCUAGAUUUCUCAAAAGUGUUCUCUAUGGAAACUGAUGCCUCUGGUACUGGAAUUAGAGCAGUGUUAUCUCAAGAAGGGCACCCCAUUGCUUUUUUCAGUCAAAAAUUAUCUCCCAGGAUGCAAGCGGCUUCCACUUACACGAGGGAAAUGUUUGGUAUUACCCAAGCUGUCCAAAAGUGGCGUCAAUACCUUUUGGGUUGCAAAUUCAUCAUCAUCACAGACCAACAACCGCUGAAAUCUCUUACUAGUCAAGUGAUUCAAACACCAGAACAACAACAAUGGCUAUGCAAGUUAAUUGGUUAUGACUUUGAGAUUGUCUAUCGUCUGGGGAAAUUGAAUUCAGCUGCUGAUGCCUUAUCGAGGAAACCAGCCUUGAUGGCGCUAUCACAGAAAAAGCUUUGGUUGACAAACUCAAGCAUUUGAACAAAACUGAUGCUUAUUUGCUUCAACUCCAGCAUCAGUUGUGCGAUGAUCCUGACUCCAUGCCUCACUUCACCUUCCAAGAAGGUAUGCUUCUUUUUCGUAAGCUUCUAAUUAUUCCCCUGGACCCGGCACUAAAACGUUUGCUCUUAGAAGAAUUUCAUUCUUCUAAAGAUGGAGGUCAUGCUGGUAUUGCGUGGUCUUUUCACCGCCUUUCAUCCAAUUUCUUUUGGCCGAGUAUGCGCAAGGAUGUCAAGCAGUUUGUCCUACAGUGCCAAGUCUGCCAGCAAAUGAAGGAUACACAUUCAAAACCUGCUGGACUUCUUCUUUCACUUCCUAUACCUGCUUCAAUUUUUGAGGAUAUUUCUAUGGAUUUCAUCACUGGCCUCCCACCUUCUCAGGGUCGUACAGUUAUUUUGGUAAUUGUGGACAGGUUGUCAAAAUAUGGCUAUUUCAUCGCCUUGCCCCCAAAAUUCAUUAGUCGCAAGAUCGCGGAAGUGUUUGUCCAAGAAUACAUUCGACUACAUGGCUUUCCUUCCUCAAUUAUUUCAGACCGUGAUCCUAUUUUCUUGUCUGAUUUUUGGGCUGAGAUCAAUAGACUUCAAGGGACUAAAUUAGCCAAGAGUUCUGCUUAUCACCCGCAAUCGGAUGGACAAACAGAGGCUCUUAACAAGUGUCUUGAGAUGUAUCUUCGAUAUUUUGCUGUGGAUAUCCCUGCUACUUGGUUUCGCCUACUCCCGUGGGCCAAAUUUUGGUACAACACUUCAUACCAACAUAGCUCUAAGCUUACUCCUUUUGAAGUUGUUUAUGGUCGGCCUCCCCCAACGAUAACUCGAUACAUCAGGGAAGACACUUCCAAUCCAGAUGUGAUAGAGUCUCUUUGUCGCCGAGAUGAAAUAUUUUCCCUCUUGAAGUCCAACUUGCAGGCUGCCCAAGAACAUAUGAAGCGGAAUGCUGACAAAGGACGCAAAGAUGUAAGCUUUGAGAUUGGAGAUUGGGUAUAUGUUCGAUUACGUCCCUACAGGCAGCUCUCUAUUCGCCUUCAGUGCCAUACAAAACUUAGUCGAAGAUUCUUUGGUCCAUUUAAGGUGCUCCAUCGUGUGGGUAAGGUUGCCUACAAACUGGAUCUCCCAUCUUCCUAAAAAAUACACCGUCUUUCAUGUUUCGGUUCUGCGAAAGUGUUUAGGGAACCCUGAUCAACAGGUUACUCCCAUUAUUCUUAUCGGCCAAGAUGCAUCUCUGCGGUUCACACCUGAGGACAUUUUGGAGCAGCGUAUUGUCACAAAGGGAGGGCAUCAAAUAACCAAGUUCUUGGUCAAAUGGCAGGGGUUGCCUCCUUCGGAGGCCACUUGGGAAGACCUUCCUAAACUGACUCAUCAGUUUCCAGACUUGACCCUUGAGGACAAGGUUCGUCUUCAUGGGGGUGUCAAUGUAACAAACCCGCAAGACCACUCGAGUACACUGAGGCGCAGCAGUAAGGACAAACAGUCCCCAAAAUACCUGGUUGAGUAUGUGGUCCCAAAGGCCAACAGAGGACUACUACCUCUGUCAAAUACUGCUGCACAUAUUGCACGAGCCUGCCAAGAAACAUCCAAAUGAAUACCUUGCUAUAUAAACAUCACAAGAUCUUUAGAGGAGGGCAUGGAAGAACUUGCAUCUUAUUUUCUUAGCUAAACUUUUAGCAAUCUGGAAUCUCUCUUUUCUAUUUUCUCUUUUUAUCUAUAUUUUGCCUGGUUUUCCCUAAGUUGAGAAUUGCUACGUUGUUAUUUCUCCCUAUCAGUGAAUACAAUUUUGAAUCAUUCCACAAACUUUCAAUACAACCCCCAUUUAAUGAAAGUCGUUGACCAAUAGUCAUUUGAACUACAUAUAACUUAGCACCGUAUUUUUUGUGGGAUUCGACCCCAACCUUUUUUGGAUUUUAUAUUUGACAAUGACCCUUACGCUUCAUUAAGGGACUUGUAGUUUGGGGUAUCAGUAUCAAAGAGAAUACUUAGGGUUUGAAACAGUAUACCCUAGCAAAACAUUGCCUGCAGUAAUUUUUGUUACCAAAGCUCUAAAUGUGCUUUGUUUAGGCGGAUUUAAGAUUGAGCUACCCUCAAAUGAGCUUAAGUUUUCGUCUGUGCGAGAGUUACACCUUGUGUACUCUAUUUUGGAUGAGCAAUUACUUCAAGCUAUAUGCACAGUAGUGAUUUAGAAGUUGUUUUUUAGGGGAUUUUAUGGACCAACCAGUUUACAAGUUGCAAGUACUUUACCUAAACUAAGGACAGUAUAUUUGGUAUCUUGCCCUCCUGAAUUCUAAAAGGUUGAUAUUGCAGCACCUAAUCUGAAAGACCUUUACAUUAGCUCCGCUUGUGGGGAUUUAAAUGUAUUAAUCAAAAUAAAUGCCUGUGUAACCCUCAAGCAUUUGAAACUCAUUGAUGUGGUUGUGACUGACCAUCGGUUAGAGAACCUUUUACCAAAUCUACCCAACCUUGAAAUCUUUGACUUAUAUCUUUGUUCAUCGUUGAGCACCGUGAAGAUCUCAAGUAAGCGGCUCAAGUAUCUUAUAUUAGUCUCGUUCAACAAUCUGAUUGAGGUUGAUCGGGAUACACCUAUGAGCAGAGUCAGUUGGACCGAGCAUUUAUUUUAAAUCCUCUUGCUCUUUUCUUUUUGUCGCGGGGUUCUGAUUUUACACUUUCGAAAUCCCUUAAAAACUUGAUUUGGAGCUGGUGUAUUAAAGUUUUCGUUACUGGAGUCCAGAAAGGUUAUAGAAAAUAGAAUUUGUCAGUCAUGAAAGGGUCAGAUCAAAUUUCCAAGUUGCCAGAGCCAAUUUUGUAGCAUAUUCUGUUUUUCCUUAUUAUUAAAGAUGCUGCCAAAACUAGAAUAUUAUUUAAGGCUUGAAACAAUGAUUGGAAUUCCUUCUACUGCUUAAAUUUUGAUAAUAAAAUUUUGAAUAAGUGAAAACACAUUGUGGAUCAAAUUCUAGCAAAUCAGCAAAGCGAAAUAUCUCUAUUCAUAAGUUCAUGAUAAAGUUACCAAAUAAUCAGACAAAGGAUGUCAAUAAUUGGAUUUAAUACUAGUAGCUUAAGAUAUCGAAGAGUUAUUUGUAAACUGUGUGAAGCAACUUUUGCUGCCAAUGCUCUGAAAGUGCUUCAUUUAAGUGGAUUUAUGCUUGAACUACCCUCAGAUGACAAUAUAAGCUUUUCGUCUUUGCGAGAGUUAUACAUUGAUAACUCGUUUAUGGAUGAGCAAUUUCUCCAAGUUCUAUGUUCAAGUUGCAGAAUUUAGAAAUUUUAUGUGUUGGAGGAUUUGAUGGACUAACCUGUUUACAAGUUGCGCAAACUACUUUUCCUGAACUAACGACAUUAUUUUUGAUGGAUUGCCCUUUUGAAUUUGAGAGGGUUGAUGUUGCAAUACGUCGUCUUAAAGAUCUUUACAUUAACUCGCCUAGUCAAGAACUGAAUGUAAUUAAUAUAACAGCUUGCAGGAAUUUGCAACAUUUGAACCUUUGUAAUGUAAUGUGGCUGUGAUAGACGAAUGGUUAGAGAGCUUUUCACUACAUCUACCCAACCUCGAAAUAUUUUACUUAUCUCAAGUGACUGUCUAAAGUAUCUGCAAAUAGUAUUGUACGAUUCUCUGACUGAAGUUGAUCUGGAUACAUCUAAUGGCACGAAAGUAUUCUCAUUGAUUGGUUAUUACUACUUGCCCACAUUAAUAACACAAUUAGUCUGCUGAUAUCAGAACACUUUAAUGAUACUAAUUAGUGUGUGAUACGGGUGUCAUGGGCUCAAGACCAUUUACAAGGAGCCUAGUUCGGGAACUAUAAAGACUUCAAGGCGCGUUUAUGAAAAUGGACGCGGUUGAGCUUGUUGCGAACUCACCCAAGGGAGUGUACACCUUGACAUGUGAGGGCUGACCUUAGGUGCUCAAAAUACACCCAAGGCUGCCCCAAAACACUCCACACCCGCCAACCCCUUCAUUAAGUGUAAAGGGGUCCUUUUGCAACACCUUUGUAAUAGACUAUUUAAACAUUUUCCUUAGUCUUGUUCCUUAGUUUUAUUCAUAUCAAGUGUAAUAUUGAACAUUGAACACCAUUUUCCUCUCAAGAAGAGAGUAGACCACCACUUUUGAACAUCACAAGUGAAAGGUUCCACUUUUAUUGUAAAACGGCUAGAAACGUGAGUUCUUGAGUGAACCGAGUUCCUCUUCGAUUUGCGUAAGAACUUGGUGCUUGUUAAUGUGAUUUGUAGAGGUUUUAGAGUUUAAUAUACUGUUUAGUUGCUACAUUUCAUAUUCUCUUUGUGUCACGUUACCUUUCCUUUAUCGUUUUUAAUUUGUGUUUUCUUCUAGUAUCGUCUUGUUGUUGCGCGUUAAGGCUUGUUGUUGUAUCUCGUUUGCGGACUAUUUUUGUGUUGUAGAUACCAUGUGCAGUGGCGGAUCUACAUACAAUUCAGGGGGUUCAUCCGAACCCCCUUCGUUGGAAAAUUAUAUUAUUUUUACAUGGUCAAAAGUAUUUUUAUGUACAUAUAGUAGAUGUUGGGGCCCCUUCGACUAGUCUGUAUAUUUACUUCUGAACCCCCUCAGUGAAAAUUCUGGCUCCACCACUGACCAUGUGGUAUUAUAGAGAAGGCUGAUCGUGUUCUUACACCACCAAUCUUGGGCUCUUCUAGGUGGAAAAAAAGUGUGUUGUCAGGUGACGUGUGAUAGAAAUAGUCACGGAUAUGGACUUAUGGGAGUGCAUUUUGGGUCCGAGACUUGGUGUGUGCAAUUGAAGUGCAAAAGGGAACCUAAGUGCACUAAAAAUCAGCCAACAUAUUACACUUGAUGGGCACCUAAGUCUCUAAGGGGCCUUUUGGUCUUUUUGUAUUUUAUUUGUAACCUAGUAUAAAUAGAACAUUGUAGGGCUUUUAGACUUAGUUUAUGGAUGAUGUUGUAAGUCUUAAGACAUUGGAAAACACAAGUCCUCUCUUCUCUUUGGAGGAAAAACCGAAACUAGGAUACAACAAUAGGGUGGAUUCUCUUUUGUUGUUGUUUGCUUGGAAACAUUGAUGUUUGGGAGGUGAAUUCCGAUCUUGUGUCUUUGUAAGAGAUAGGUUUAUUGUUGUGUGUAGUGUUAAGGGUCCAAGAUUGUCCAUUCUUGGGUUCUUGAGAUUAUACCUUCAUGUGGUCUAUCUAUGUAUCCUUUUACCUUCUUGUAAUCUUGUUUAUUGUUUGUGUUGUAAUCUUGUGUUCUUGUUGUUAUUGUUAAAUAUGAAUCUUGUGUCUUCUUUUUUAUCAUCUUGUGUUAAUAUUGUUCUUGUUCUUGUUCUUGUUGCUGUUUUGGUGUUAAAAUACACAUUAUAUCUUGUAUUCUUCUUGUUGAUAGCGAAUCCUAGAGUGGUCUCCAUCUUGGUCCUCGGAUCCUUAAGAUUGUGGACUGAUUUGGAAUGUGUUUUGUGCCUUCCGUUGUCAUUCUUGUAUCAUUUGGUAUCAAAGGUGAUGAAGCUGUAAGUCAGGAGCCCGCCUGAAGAACAGGGUGAUAAAAUUGCAAGUCAGGAGCCCGCCUGAUGAACAGGGUGAUGAAAUUAAAAGUCGGGAGCUCACUCGGAGAACAAAGUGAGAAAAUUCCAAGUCAGGAGCCCGCUUGAAGAACAGGGUGAUGAAAUUAACGUGUUAUCUCUAAGUGUUAGUUUUGUUCCUCACUAACACAUUGAGUCUAUAUCUAGAUUUGAGCUUUAAAAAUUGAUGUUGUUGUUGUGAACAUAAGACUUGGCCGAAUUGUUGUUGAAACAUUAUUGUGGUGGACUGUUUUGGCUUUGUGGUCUUCAUCUUGUUGUUGUUAUAAGCUUGGCCACGUGGUAUUUUUUGCUCAUUGGUGGCCUAAGAACCAUCUUGUUGAAGUUGUAGUUGUCUUGGACAAGUGUUGAAGAUAUUGUAUUGUGAAAAUUGGAAGUUGGCCGUGUGAAAAUUGUUGGUGUUCUUGGAGAUUGUUGUUUGUUGUUCUUGGUGAUUGUUGAUGUUGUUCAUGGAGUUCUUCACAACCUUCAUAGCUUUUUAAAAUAAAGUGAACCUUAGAUCUAUAAAGGUGAAGGGAAAAAGAUAAAGCUUUGUUAGUCUUGAAAGACUUACCAUCACUCAUCAACUCGUCAAUCACAUUUCAACCACUUUCCAACAACUUUCCAUGAUUCAAGAAUCCAUGUUUUAAGGGUAGUACAAGUCUAGUCAAAGACAUUUGAGUCUUGAAUUUUGAAUUGAAAAGAAACUCCAAAGACUAGUUUGUAUUUCCCUUCAUUGAACAAGUUCCACCAAAGGUCCCAAUUUGAAAAUUGACCAAGACUUGAACUUUUGAAAUUAACAACUUGAUAAAACCAAACCAAUACGUGGCUGCCACAUCACAUUUUACUGUUCGCACGACAAAAUUUUAAACUCAAAUUUUGAUCUUUUAGUUUCAUUGUGUUGUCUCUUUAGUUUCGUUUGUUGAUUCCAUUACUAACGUACGAGCUAGUACUAGCUUGUAAGUUAGUUUUGAAACCAUUCUUCGAGUUAAAUUUUCUUUGUGUGUCUUAAUCCUUUGAGUCGUUGUAACGUCCUUGUGUUUUUUUUCCUUACUCUUUGGAGUCAUUUUCAAUGUUCGAUUUACCUCUCUACACCUCUCGGAGUACAAACAAGCUUUCAAUACUUGUGAGAUUGAGUGUGAGGGAUCCGAGAGACCCAAAAUAAAAGAGAGAGUGAGGAUGUUUUAUUUAACUAACGUGUUUUCUAUUUUGUAGGUAACUUCUUUGCCACAAUGGAUACCAUUUUGGCCCUCCUUGAUGCUAUUGCCUGAGAAAUAGCUAAGGCGAAUGCGGGUCUUGACAAAUUGGGAUCGGAUAUGUCUACUAUACUUGAGAGGUUGGAUCGAGUGGAGAGUCGAAGGAAUUCUCGUGAUUCUACUUACGAAGCUUUACCUUAAGCAAUCACACCAAAUGACGUAGACAUAAGUCAAGCCACCAAAUGUCCUCCAACCCGAGACCUACAUAGGUCGAUCCCUCCUCCAUUCGAUCAAGUCCAACAAAAAAGACUUGGAAGCCAAAUAUCUCCCUUCCAAGCUCCACAACCGAAGCUCCACUUUACCAAGUCAAUCCUCUCAACUGAAACUCUACUUCACCAAAGCCGACAUGUCCAUGUAGAUGAGAAUGGUAGAAAAGAACAUGAAGGAUAUGGAGUCUACGACAAUGCUUGUAUGAUGGUAGGAGACUUGUUUCAGAUGAGAUUAAAGACAAGGUUCAAGAUAGAGAGGAAGAUGAGAUUCAAAAUGAAGCUGUUGGCCAAGGUUCAAGAUAGAGAGGAAGAUGAGAUUCAAAAUGAAGCUGUUGGCCAAGACUUGUGUUAAUGUUUUACAAGCUAUUUUGAGUGGUUUAUUUUAAAGUGGCCGAUUGAACGAGGUGAAGCCGUGAAUUUGUGGGCAAAUUCCUCUCAAGAUAGAGAGGAUGAUACGGGAAUAAUCAAGGAUAUGGACUUAUAGGAGUGCAUUUUGGGUCCGAGACUUGGUGUGUGUAAUUGAAGUGCAAAAGGGAACCUAAGUGGACUAAAAAUCAGCCAACAUAUUACACUUGAUGGGCACCUAAGUCUCUAAGGGGCCUUUUGGUCUUUUGUAUUUUAUUUGUAACCUAGUAUAAAUAAAACAUUGUAGGGCUUUUAGACUUAGUUUAUGGAUGAUGUUUUAAGUCUUAAGACAUUGGAAAACACAAGUCCUCUCUUCUCUUUGGAGGAAAAACCAAAACUAGGAUACAACAAUAGGGUGGAUUCUCUUUUGUUGUUGUUUGCUUAGAAAUAUUGAUGCUUGGGAGGUGGAUUCCGAUCUUGUGUCUUUGUAAGAGAUAGGUUUAUUGUUGUGUGUAGUGUUAAAGGUCCAAGUUGUCCAAAGAAUGUAUCCACCAAAUGCCACACCUUAAGCGAACUAUUACUCACAAGGCCGAGGCCUUGAUGGACCUAGCCAUUCCCUACCUCACCAAGUCCCACAUGAAGGACUUGGAACCCAAAUUCCACCCUUAAAUCCAAAUCCUCCAAACCAAAACCCCCCAAUACAAUGACCUCCUCCACUAAAUGCCAAUCCACUAUACCAAAUUCCAAAUGUCCAAAUCCCGCUAAUGCAAGAAGAGGGAUAUGUAAGGGAGAACUGAUACGAGAAUUCCUAGCUCGAGACCUUUCACACAAAGUCAAGUGCGUGAGUUACAACGACUCCAAGCCUUGUUCACAUCCUUGGCCGUGUGUGAGGCCCUUCUGAACCCAUCUAAGGUCCUACACUUAUUAAAGUGUGAAGAGGUACAACAAAACACCCCAAACCCACCCACUUAAUGCCAAGGGUAUUUUGGUCUUUUGUCUCUCCUUUUUGUAAUUGACUAUAUAAGACAUUUGUUAGGUCUAGUCUUUUAGUUAGUUCAUUCAUAUUUUGGAAGACAACAAAAUACUUGUAAUAUUUUGAAACUUCUCUCUUCCAUUGGAGAAGCCCCAAUUUCGAAAACUCACUAGUAGAGUGAUACUAGUGUUGUCUCUUGGCUAAAAAAUAGGAUCUUGGGGUUCUUUGAGUUCCUCUUGGUCUAAGUUAGAAAUUGGUAUUGAUAUUCAUUAAUCUUUGGGUCCUUCCUCUUGUUAGGGUUCUUAGAUCAUUAAAUAUUGUGUGUGAAGUUUCUAUCUCUUGUAAUUUUGUUAUCCUUGUGUUAUUGAAUCUAAAAGUCUAGUGAAGCCGUAUGAGUCUCUUUCGAUUCACUAGCAUUGUUGCCUUGUUAUUUAUCUCAUUUUUUUGUUCAAAAACACAAACUCAAAGUCUAGUGAAGCCGUGUGGGGACUAUUUCAAUUCACUAGCAACUUGUUGUUCAUCUUAUUGUUCUUAUGUUGGUUGGAAUCUCUUGAUACACACAUAGUCUUGUAUCAUUUGGUAUCAAAGUUUAUGGUUGAUUUUGUUCCAACAAAAUCAAUCUUGGGCUUGCUAGAAAAAAAAAAGAAAGAAGAGUAGUGUUCUUGAACAUUUUGGUCAAAAUUGGUUGUACAUCUACAAUAGAUUUUACUUGUUUAGUUUGUUUCUUGUGUUGGUUUCAUUCUCAUCAACACAAAAGUGUCUAAAUCUAAAGUUGAGAUUAAGAAAAAAAUGACUUGUUGUUGUGAAAACUUGAGGUUGGCCGUGUGGUGACUUGUGUUGGGCGUUGGAGUGCCCAUUGUGGUAUGUUGUUGUUUUGUUCUUGAAGGUUUUGAUGU